rnacentral:rRNA from 1 species
GGUGAACGCUAGCUACAGGCUUAACACAUGCAAGUCGCGGGGCAGCAUGGGGGUUGCUUGCAAUCCCCGAUGGCGACCGGCGCACGGGUGAGUAACGCGUAUCCAACCUGCCCUUCACCACGGGAUAACCCGGCGAAAGUCGGACUAAUACCGUAUGUUGUCCAUUGACGGCAUCCGAUUUGGACGAAAGGUUUGGCGGUGAAGGAUGGGGAUGCGUCCGAUUAGCUGGACGGCGGGGUGACGGCCCACCGUGGCGACGAUCGGUAGGGGUUCUGAGAGGAAGGUCCCCCACACUGGAACUGAGACACGGUCCAGACUCCUACGGGAGGCAGCAGUGAGGAAUAUUGAUCAAUGGGCGUAAGCCUGAACCAGCCAAGUAGCGUGCAGGAUGACGGCCCUAUGGGUUGUAAACUGCUUUUAUGCGGGGAUAAAGUGGCCCACGUGUGGGUUUUUGCAGGUACCGCAUGAAUAAGGACCGGCUAAUUCCGUG